UCUCCCCGCUCCUGGCAGGCUGCAGCCGUCUCCUCCCGGUGCUCGCUCCUUCCUUGAGCUCUGUCCACCGCUGCCCACUGGGGGCUAGAGCUUCCCGGCUACCCUGGAAGCUGGAGGCUGGGACCAGCUCUUCAGGGUCUUCUCUGGCCCAGCCUUUGACUGAAGCUGGUCUGGAGACAGGGGCGUUAGAGAAGUGACUCAUAGAUGGCCUAAAGAAGCGGGGCCACUCAAGGACCCAGGACAGAGGGAAGAGGGCCAACCCAGCUGGACCGCAGGCAAACCCCAUGGCCUUUGAGAGAAGAGAGAAGAGGACCCGGUGAAGUAGGCUCC
rnacentral:lncRNA from 1 species